UCUUCUUUGUUUGAAAACAACGAGAAGAUAACAAGAUUCUUUUCUUCUACCCAAUCAAGCUCCUUAUUUUCUGUCUCAUUCAGCUGUGAGAUAUUCAUUAGGUAUUCCCUCAAUAUCUUGUAAAUGCAAUGAAAGGAGGUGGAUCUGGCUCUUGGCUUUAAGAUUCGAUUCUAACACAACCAUAUGUCACCUUUGUCCGGCUCUGCACCCUAAACACUUCCAUUGUCUCCUCCUUCCCUUCCCAAUCCUUAAAAAAUCUAACCACUUACCAUUCAAACAUACCUGCCCUCCUUACCAACCU
rnacentral:lncRNA from 1 species